AUCCAUUAUUUACAUCUUGUGUUAUAGUAUCCUGAAAAUUGCUGUGAUUGAAUCUAUCUCCAUGUAUAUUAUUUUAAAAAAGAAAUUUCCUAGCCAUAAUUUUUCGUAUUUUUUAGUCAGAACCAUUCCAUUGUGGAUAUUAAAAUAAAAAAAAAAAAAAAAAAAAUGAGUUUCGAUAAAAUUUCGACCAAUGGCUAAUCAUUGCGAAAUGAUUGUCGUAUCGAGAAAAAUGCGAUAGAAAUCGAUCAGUUUUGAGAUAUUGCGAAACUCGAUAAUAUCGAUUUGAGGAACGCAUCCGUUCCUGUCGUGUCAUCGUGUCGUUUUGUCGUUUUGUCGUUUUGUCAAUCGCAAUGAAACCAUACACAUUCAUGGAUUUUAUACAAAUUCUUCGUGGUCGACGAUGCUACGUUAAACACAUUAAGUUGAUUGUGAUUAAUAAAUUUAUUUUAAACAGUUUUCAUGAUCUAUAACUUAAUCUUUGUAAUACGUUCGUACGAACGAAUGAUUGUGUAAUAUUGAAGCAGUGAUAUAUUGAAUAUUCAGAUUUUAAACAGUGAACUACUCUUGUCAUGUAAGAUAAAAAAUUAUUAAUUAUACCCUCCGUUAUGCUUGAACUGCAGAAGCCGGGACAGUCGGCCACGACGAGCGAGGCUCCGGGGAUUGCCGCCCGCUACGACUCUGCCAACACAACAACAACAAGGCCGCUUCACGAGUCUAAUUCCUAGGCAUCUAUCUGGUAACCGGUACGGAAUUGCACGGCGACGUCGAGAAAGAAGACGAGGUCCGUGAAACCGUCGCAUGCGAGCCACGUGGCCGGGGCGACCGCCUGCAACUCGGGCAAACUUUGGCGCACGAUCAACGUCCACAGAUUG